UACGUAGGGUGCAAGCGUUAAUCGGAAUUACUGGGCGUAAAGCGUGCGCAGGCGGUGAUGUAAGACAGGUGUGAAAUCCCCGGGCUUAACCUGGGAACUGCAUUUGUGACUGCAUUGCUGGAGUGCGGCAGGGGGGGGUGGAAUUCCGCGUGUAGCAGUGAAAUGCGUAGAUAUGCGGAGGAACACCGAUGGCGAAGGCAAUCCCCUGGGCCUGCACUGACGCUCAUGCACGAAAGCGUGGGGAGCAAACAGG
rnacentral:rRNA from 1 species